AUAAUAACAUAACUCUAAAUGUACACACAUUCAUUCACACAAUACAUUUAAAAAGUUUUUUUACAUAUAAAAACAUUCGCACUGCAUCAUACAUCACCACACUUGCUUUUGCUCUUGCUUUAGCCAGCACAGCAGCCAGCAUUCAAGAAAUCCAGCAGACAAAAAAGCAUCGUGUGCCGCUGGCUUUACACACAUCUCAGCACAAAACUAUACAUAUACACAAAAAUACACUUUAAAACCAGAAGAAAACUCAUAAAGCCUUUUCUACAAUAGUCGCACAGAUCGUGUCGUAUGUCGUAUAAGAAUGUUGUACAAACACUGUUUCCGGUCUUAAGCUUGUCGCAGUCGCAAGAGCUCUUGUCGUACAGAGUUGAGCCAACUUUAACUUUCUGCGACUGCGACAAGCAUGUCGCAUGAUAUCAGCCAAUCACAGCACAGGAAAUUCGGCGCCGAAAUGAUUUGCGUUACAUGAAACCCUUUGGAACACCGUUUUUCUUCACUAUUUACUGGUCGCACCCGCCAUCUUCUGUUUGAUUCACCGAGCAAUUGAUGAUAUAAUAAUAUUAAGUUCAAAAAUUGAGAGCAGAGUUGCAGAAAGUAUAUCUACUUAGCGACACUCUUACGACAUGCGACAACUUUUCCUGCGACAUUAUUACUUACGACAUGCGACACAGCCUGUGCGACUAUUCUAGACGAGGAUUAAAAUGUAGCGAAAUGCCGCGAAACCCAGCAAAAGCGAAACUGUUGGAAAUUGUUAUGGCUGAUAUCAGGUGAUGCACUUCUAGACAAGGGGGAAAAGAGGCAGAGAAUGAAAUCGAUUGUGCUGCCGCCUGGCACGAGGACCACCGAAAUGAAGCUCCGUCACCACUAAAAGUAGCUGAGUUUGGUUCCCCUGCGACGGUUUCAGCCGCUGGUUUUAGCGCCAUAUUCACAAAAAUGGAUCUCAAAGGUCAUUUUACAUUAAACGCAAGUCGCAGAUUUCGUGGAAUUUUGACUAAUUGCAUACUCAAAUCAGCCAAUCGACCGUGAUUGAUCAAUUCCACGAGACCUGCGACUUGCGUUUAAUGUAGAACGGC